rnacentral:tRNA from 1 species
GCAUGAUUACCGCAGUGGCUAGUGCUCUCUCCUUCCACCUGGGAGACCUGGGAUCAAAUCCCCGAGAGCACA